UUUUUUAGGGAAGAGCUGGUCUCCCUUCAAAGGGAGACCAGGAAACUUCCCC
rfam:Human immunodeficiency virus type 1 complete proviral genome